AUGUUAAAUAUUUUUUCGUUGAUACACUUUUCCAAGCCCAAAAUCCUGAGCCCAGAUUCUCCGCUAUCCAUUGUUCCUGUGAUCCUACCGCCUCUUGCGUACAAUACAAGUCUCCAGACUUACUACAUGACAUGUAUUUACCUAAACAGCUUUUCAAUAGUAUAGUAUUGUUCAGUAUGGAUAACAAAAACACCUGGCGCGUCAAUUCUGGCUCUAGCGAAACUUUGUCGAGGGGAAGAAGAACGCAACUUUCUUUAACUUCUUCAAUUCCAAGAGAUACACCAGCAUCAUCGUCUAUUUUACUACAUAAAGUUGUAAGUAAAUUAGAAAAAAAGGUAUAAGAAUAUUGAAGUUAAGCUUACUAUAUAACCGCUGGACCCUCAAGCUCAUUUAGCUCGUUUGCGUCCGUCCAAAAAGGAUCGUUUUCAGCUGAUUCUAGAGAAGAUUGAAGUGAUUUUGUGUUCUUUUUUUUCUUCUUUUGACUGAUUUCUUGUUAGUGAUGAACAAUAUAAUAUGAAUUACCACAUUCGAGCAGUUAUUUCAUUUUAUCUUACAUCUUUUUGUCUCCCUUGAAAGUUAAUCGCAUAGACAUUUUACCAUCAGUAAAUUACCAAGAAUUUAAACGAUUAAAAAUCCUUAAAAAUGAUAAUUGUUAAUAAUGGAUAAUGACUAAAUAUUUAUGCGUGGUUUUCGAGGAAAAAGCAAGUAGUGGGAGUAGUGUUAAGGAUUUGAACAGACCAGAUGCUUCUUCGUGCUGAAAUCCAAUAUGUUCUGAGGAAUAGGCAAGGUACUCUUAGCAAAACAAAAGAGGUUCAAACGUUUUUAAUAAGCAAGGAAAUGCUUUAUAUGAAUAGAAAUGUUCUGUUGCUCACAAUGUGACUUUUGUGACCCAUGCUAAUGUUGGUUUGUAAAAUGGAUGAUUUGCAUAACAUUCUAAUGGCUUGAGAAAGAAAAAAAAUGUGCUUAAUUGAAUGAUAAUUUUGAAUAUAGAUGAGAGAAGAAGUAUGCACCGAAGACUAGCAUUGUUCAAUACCAAAAACAUUCGUUGAAGGACGAGUCAUAUUCCAAAAAAGGAAGUCCAUUGAUGACAAUAAGAAUUUUUUUUUGCUUAUUCAGUUGAAAGCUUACAAAAGAUGAGCACUGUUUCAAUUUACUUAUUACUAUGUGAAUAAGUGUAGCCAUAAUACCUGCAUAUUAAAAACAGCACAAAAGUGGAUGAAAAUAUUUGAGUGAUAAAAAAACAAUAGUAUUAAUUUUGUUAUUUAAUCUAUUAACUUGAUUAUUGUUGUACAAAUGAACUUGGAAAUUCCAAAACAUUCAAAAA